rnacentral:rRNA from 1 species
UACGUAGGGGGCAAGCGUUGUCCGGAUUUAUUGGGCGUAAAGAGCGUGUAGGCGGCCAGACAGGUCCGUUGUGAAAACUCGAGGCUCAACCUCGAGACGCCGAUGGAAACCGUCUGGCUAGAGUCCGGAAGAGGAGAGUGGAAUUCCUGGUGUAGCGGUGAAAUGCGCAGAUAUCAGGAAGAAUACCCGUGGCUAAGGCGGCUCUCUAGUACGGUACUGACGCUGAGACGCGAAAGCGUGGGGAGCGAACAGG